rnacentral:lncRNA from 1 species
CUCAAACCCCCGUCCUAUCAAACUCACCCUAGCCCCUCUGAAACCCUAGCCUUCUCCCACCGUCUUCCGCCAUGUUUCAACGGAAUCCAUGGCAUCCUCAAGCCCUGGGUGACCUGUACUCACCUUCACGUGCUUUGUUACACAUGCCACUAGAAGCUUCAAGGUCUGACCUUGAAGGUUUCCGCUCAGAUCGUCGCCGAUUUAAGUUUUAUGGCCAUCUCCGGCAUGUCCUGGUCCUAUGAGCCUAUCUCUGGCUCACCUGGCUCAGAGCAGGCCCUUUUCUAGGUCUUUCUCACUUCUAGGGUUCUUUUGAAACUCUAGCCCUUUGAGGUUUUCCUAUAUUUCACUAGAUCCACUCUAGAUCCAUGCUUGUUUUAAGGUUCUCAAAACAAUUUCUUAAAUCUCUUUCAAAAGUUUUUUUUUCAAAACUAUUCAUCUUCUCCGAUUUAGGGUUUCUUUGAUUUUUACUCGUUCUAAUAUGAAUUUAUGUCGUGUUCUUCUGUAUUCGUCUUACUGUGUCUCAUGUUUGUUUCUACUUUGACUCCUAUGUGUUUUUUCUACUAUGUUUCCUCCUAAUGUUUCCUUCUAUAUUUUCUAUUACUGUGUUUUCCCUCAACAUGUUUUCACGGAAUAAUUAAUUUCCUUUGGGUUUUCUAAGUUUGCUCUUGCUUGAUUUUUUCGUUUUCGUCACUACACUAGACUAAUGACGAAAACCUUAGAAUUUGGGGGUUUUCAGACCACGUGUACGUGACUUGCAUGUUCUCACCUCUGAACUAGUUUGAUUUCAAUUUCUGAAUGUCAUCUCUGUUUUCAUAUGGUUCUGACCUUUUUGCCUAAAGCUAGAUUUUCCUUCUUUUAUGUUUGAAGUGUUCGUAUGCUCCUUAUAUACUUUGAAUUUCCCCCUAAAAUGGUCUUUCAAAUUUGCAAUUAGUUAAAAAAUUCUGCUGCAUACAACUUGAUUUAUUUGUUUCCAUUUUUUCCCCUGACUCGACCUAAGUAAAACCCUUCUCCUUUUCAGACUGGAUUCAUUCCUAUAAAAAUAUCAGACCUUUGAUUUACUAUUUGUUAAUUGUUUUUCUUACCUUAUUUGCACAAACCGUGUAUUUAAAUUUUUUUUUCCUUAAAUAACUUUUAUGUAUUCGCCCUUAUUUGUAUACUAUGCACGUUUUGUUUAUUUGAUCCCCUUUCCUUAAAUAUUUUUUAUCCUUUUCUGAUCAAAUUGGGAUUCCUUAAUUAAAGGAACCUCUGUUAAUUGAUUGAUCUUGAUUGAUAAUCGACUAAUUUUCUUUCCUUGCUUGAUGUCUUAUUUCAAUUAUAUACAUGUUCUUUUUCUCACUUCAUCAUCGAAUUUUGACUGCAAAUCAAAAUCAGAAUUCAUCUCUCUGUCUUCUAUACUACUACUAUUACUACUUUUUCUUUCUCACUACUAUUAAGCAUUCCACAUCUGUAUUUCCUGUUGUAUGAAUUUCUAAGCACUUGGGGAGUUUACUUGAGUCCGUUCCUGUUGUUCCUGGAUGCUUGUUUGCCGUUAGUAUUCUGAUGUUCUAGAAUUUAUAACUGGUAUGUUCUUCUAUGUUAAAUAGCAUCCUUGUUCAACUUCUCUGCUUCUACCCCUCUUUUUUUGUGUGUUUAUUUAUGCUUUCCUGCACUCUGUAAUGACCUUUGAGCAUGCUAUGUGUCAUAUGUUAUGAUUAAUACCUUCCCUCUAUUCCCUUUGAAUGUGAGUAUUGUUCUGGAUCAUAUCAGCACUAUUUAAUUACUGUUUGUGAACCAGAACUAGACUUUACUGAGUCUUUACUCAAUCGCUUUCCCAUUCCCUUUCUCUUCAAUGUGCUGAGCUCUAAUUUGGGUCUGUUGGUGUCCUGAUCACUAUUCAGACAUGAGUUUGACUCUAUAAGAGUCUGCUCUUAUUUGUUUGAACCUGAGCAAGAGGUAGGGGUGUGCCAGUCUAUGUCAUGGCUUGGUAUGACCACCUCCUACUAAGGUUCCUCUCUCACUUUACACCUACUCCUAGCUCUUAUGUUCUACCCCUUCUGGUAAACCUUGCUUAGGGACCCUAGAGCUCCCCCUGAACUUGGAUGCCUAAGGGCUGGUAAUUCCACACAUUGCACUACUCUGUUACCACAUUCACUCUUUUGGGUGUAAGCAUUACCUGGGCUCUCGAAGCUCCUUGGAACUUUGAAACACUUUAAGAGAAGGUCUUGGAAUCUGGAACCCGGAUUUGGUAAAACACAUGUAUUGGAUAUCAAGAAUGCAUUAGGAAAUUUGGAUAUAGCUGUGGGCUAUGAUGUAUUUUAUUUUUGCUUUUGGCUCUGUAAUAAUAACUUUGUAAUAACACUUGGGGAAUAUAGAAGUAAAAUGUAUGGGAGGGGUUUUUUAGUUGUGUACAUGUCAAAGGGUAGAAAUCAUGCCUAUAGGACUUUUACUACUUUAAAUCGCCUAGAAAUCAUGCCUAUAAGAUUUAAUACUUUGAAUCGCCUAGAUAUCAUGCAUAUAGGGCUUUUACUACUUUGAAUCACUUAAAUAUCACGUCUAUAGGUUAUUUUAACAUUUGAAUUACCUAGAGAUCAUGUCCAUAGGCUUGCAUUUUUCUUCAUUCAAGCAUAUAGAAAUCAUGCCAAUAGAAUUGCAAUAAUAAUAGGCAAACAAUAGGGUAACACAAAUAUCGCCUGCCUGAAAUGUUUAAAAUAGCAUUAAAAAUCGGAAUAGAUAUCUUGCCUAUAGGAUCUCAAAACUCGCUUAAGUCGUAUAAUCAGUAAUCUGGCAAUUAUUUCAAUUUUUUCAUCCAAUCUGUCUGCAACUCUAAGAACUUGUAUUUCUAUCGCUAAAAUCAUUUUCGAACUCCCCAUCUGAAUUUUUAUUCAUGAGGUUACUUUCCAACAGUUUUCAAAGUCUCGCCUUUUUUAUGAACACUUCACUUCUGAAACUCUGCUGUACAUUUCUUUAAACAAUCCCAUCGAACUCCUGCAACUUCUGCUUCUUACAAAACUUGUGUAUGUUAGUCCUUAAUUAACAAUUUGGUAAAAUACUCCAGAUCCUAACAAUUGUAUCCAAGUUGCCUAAUGUAGACCUUUUAUCUAAUUAUAUGUGUUAACUGAUUCGUCCACCACUUAUUUUUAAUUUAAGACCUAAACAGUAUAUGCAAGGCAUGCUAACUAUAUGUUGUCUGUUUAAAAGGGGUUUCUUUGAGCCUUGGUUUGUCUUCUUGUUCUUUCCCUUACUUGGUAUCUGUUUUGAAUGACGAACUAGACUUUUAUCCUUUGAAACUCCAUGCAAACCCCCAUCCCUUUCUUCCCCUUUUAGGAUUAGAAGUCCUAAUAUCCCGGGACUAAUAGGUUGAGGCCGGUACUAGCAUGCAAUAAGUAAAACGAGACUAGUCGCGUUUAAAUACCUUAACGGGGUGGUAAGGGUAGAAUAUGGAUAUGAUGACUGGUGCGCUAAUAUCUCGUGUGAGAAUGAUUGCUGGGUGCUCACCUUGAGCAAACGUUGCUGAGAUUUCGAGAGGAAUUGGACCAAGUUUGGAACCUGGCAAGCCUGUCAAUCAGUCUUGCCACUCCUUAUGUUAACACCCAGAGCCCUGCACCUCAACAAAAUAUCCCGCAACCACCAAUGCAACCCACUCAUGCCCAAGCCUGUAACAAUCCUUUCUUCUUCUUUAUUAAUGCUUUAUCUCAGAUUAAUGUUUUCAACCAAAACUCCUCUUUUCAAAACAACUUGUGUCUUUCUUCUUUCAAAAUUUUCAACUUGCUAUGUUUCCUAUGUGCAAACUUUGGUUGUUUACUCCUCCUCUUCUUAAAGUCACAAUUAGGCACGGCAAAAAACCACACUAGGGGAUCUUGAGGGGUGCCUAACACCUUCCCCACGAGAUAAUCUCAAGCCCUUACCCGAACUAUGGUUUUCUUUCAAAAUCCUUUUCUUUUCUUUUAAAGUGUCCUAACGCACUAUAAUCAUUAGGUGGAAACUCUCCAAAAUCCAUAACCUAAUUUCCCCGAAAGGGGAUAAAAGAGUCAUUCGACCUAUAAUGUCGAAACCCUCUUUUCUCCCUUAAGAAAAUGGGAGCGUCGACAACAUGGCGACUCUGCUGGGGAAUUUUAAGGCUUUUACCAUUACGUGAUCUUGUGACUUUAUUGCUUCCUUAAUUGUUUUUAUUUCACACCUUUAAUUAUUUUAUCAUGAUUACCGACUUGAUUCUUCAUAUCUUUCCUUUCCUUUAACCGCCUUUCUUUACUGCUUUGUUACCAUUUCGAUACCGUUAUAAUUUUUGAGCAUUUACUUUAAUCUUUACUAUAUGAACGUGAAAAUACGUGUAAUUUGCUUCAUUUUUGUAGCUGCAUCUUCAAACAUCAUAUUCCACUUGGGUCAAAACAAAUCCUAUAGAAACGCUUAUAGUGAGUGGUUGCGCCCUUCCGAUAUUAUAACCCGUAAAUGUGGAAAAGGUAUAUUUGCGGAAAAACCAGUCGAUCAACGGUGUAGUUGACGGUUCCGUGCCUUUCCCUCUUGAGUUGUCUGCUCAAGGGUACCUUGUCUAGAACUUUAAAAAGAUAAACCUUACUCUAUUAAACUGUUCAUGCGUUAUGGUCAAACUUAGCCGAGUCAGUUAUGUCAUCCGCAUAAUGACUCAUUAAGAUAGCCUAGUCCAAAGUCCAUCGGGUUUUCCUGAAACCCAAACGGACACCCCCAUGUUAUUUGCAUAUAUUUAGAGAACUAAAUGCCUUUAUGUUAAUUAUUGGAAUUAAAUAGUCGAGUCCGAUGAGGGUGAGGUCUUAACCCUUUUGUUUUGCAGGAAAUGAAUGACGA